rnacentral:piRNA from 1 species
UACUCAAUUGAUGGUUUUUUG